rnacentral:rRNA from 1 species
AUUGAACGCUGGCGGCAGGCUUAACACAUGCAAGUCGAGCGAGCGGCGGACGGGUGAGUAAUGUCUGGGAAACUGCCUGAUGGCGGGGGAUAACUACUGGAAACGGUAGCUAAUACCGCAUACCAUCCGAUGUUCCCAGAUGGGAUUAGCGAGUAGGUGGGGUAAGGGCUCACCAAGGCGACGAUCCCUAGCUGGUCUGAGAGGAUGACCGGCCACACUGGAACUGAGACACGGUCCAGACUCCUACGGGAGGCAGCAGUGGGGAAUAUUGCACAAUGGGCGCAAGCCUGAUGCAGCCAUGCCGCGUGAGUGAAGAAGGCCUUCGGGUUGUAAAGCACUGUCAGUGAGGAGGCGUUACUCGCAGAAGAAGCACCGGCUAACUCCGUGCCAGCAGCCGCGGUAAUUC